CAACUGUUUACAAAACAUAAAAUAUCUUCAUAUCAUUAUCAUCAACAGUAAUUUUGAUAUUAAAUAUAUAUGAUAACAUGUCGUUUAAUAAAAUCAUAUCAUUAGUUGUGAUUAUGUUAAUGGAGGAGUUCAACCUACGACCUCUUUACAACUCUUACAUGUAUGCCUUUCCUUCAAAAUAUGAAGCCAUCUUUUUUCCCUAUAUCAUAUACAUUAAAUCAUUUGCUCAAAGUUUAACGGAUAUACAUUAUUGUUGUAAAAUAUUUUUACAUCAACAUCUGAACAAAACUCAUGCACUCAUGCCAUUACUAUUUAAGUACAAAAUGUUUGAUUUUUUUUUAUUUUUUAAGAAGUUAAACUAACUCACCUGCAUAGACUUUGAUCACACUCCAGUCCCAAAAUAUUUGAUUCUUAUCAAAGGUCCCUCUAAAUUUAGUUCAUCCUUACAUUGCAUGUCUCUUUUUUUUUUUUCAUUGAUUAAUUUAUUUUCCUAAAAAUAAUUUUGUUGAAAAUGCAAUAUAUGUAUAACUGAAAACAAAAUUAUUUGAGUUAAUUAAUUACCAGAAUCAAUGGCUUGAUGCUUUCAACGCUAAAAACAGAGUCAUCCUCUUGUUGACAAUGAUCAAGCAAAACAUCCAAGAAAUCACCAGCAACCACGCCACCAUCAUGCGAAUUACUAUUUCUAUCUUCAACACGUUUUUGAAUCAUACGAUCAAAAAUCUCAUGCAAUCUUACAUAUGAAACCUUAACGUGUCUCUUCACACCUUGCAGAUCAAACAUCUUCACCACUGGAAAAUAAUCAGAAACAUUCACUUUCCCAGCAUCUUCCAUUAUCCUCCAUACAAGCUCUUUAAACUCACCAGCACUCUCGAACUCCGAAUCAACAAGGUCCUCUGAGAACACCGUGUUGGAAACCAAGUUCAACAUGGUGGCGAAAGCAAGUUCACCUAUGUCAACGGUUGUUUUCUCUGCUGCUUUUUUGUGAAGGUGUUGGACUAGUUGCUCAACUUUCCGGUGACGGAGAUGUUGGAGAAGGUCAAGGCGGUGGGUGGUGAAUAUUUGUGUGGUGCAGAUACGUCUACGGUUACGCCACCGUGAGUCGGCAUGGGACCAUGCGAGUGUGUCGUUGACGUUGGGUUGAGCAGCAACUGAUUCAGGGAUAGGGCGGUUGGCGAAGGAUUGGUCGUUUUUUUGGAGGAUUUCUUGGGCGGUUUUCGGGGAGGAAGCAACGGUGACGGUGACGGAGCCGAAGCGGAGGGACAUGAUGGGGCCAUAGGUUUUGGCGAGGGAAGAGAGGGUGCAGUGGGGUUUUGAGCCGAGUUGGUGGAGGUUUCCGAUUAUGGGAAGACCGGUUGGACCGGGUGGUUUAUUCUUUUGGCGGUUUAGGAAGAACCGGAUUAUGAUAAGGGAUAGGGUGGUGAAUAAUAGUAAGAUAUGAUACUCCAUCAUUGAUUAAUUAUCUAGUAUGAAAUUGUCAUGAACUUCAAUGAAAAUUAUAUAAGGUUGUGUGUUCUGGACUUUUUGGUUUAGCUACGUUUCACCUCAUGGACAUGUCAAUUUAACUGAUUGCCUACAUGUUAAGAAAUGGUAUAAUUUUCAAAUCUAAUUGAAAAUGAUGUUUUUUCUAAAUUGUUUCAAGAUAAAGAGUGGUAUAGGUGCAUCUUUUUGGUCCACCGAAUACCGACUGUGGGAGUGGUUAGGAGAAGAAGCCAUCAACCGGAUGACAGGUUCUAGAAGUAACUAAAAAAGUGUCCAAAAAUAGUAAUUUGCAAUUUUGAAACCAAAUUUCUGUCCAAAACAUGGUUAGUAUUAAAGGGUGGUGAUAUGAUCAUGGUGUUUUAUUUGAUGUGUUGUGGAACACGGUGUUGCUUACUUAGGUGGAUCGUGGAUCCUUCACGGAUUGGACCUUGGUCAGUCCAAAACAUAACAAUUUAGACUCUUUAACAAGCAUCUAGCCAUGAGUAAUAUUUAUUUGAAAUGCAUUAACAUUUUAACAGAUAAAACCAAAGAUAUCAAUUGAGCAGAGUACAUAUUGAGAAGUACACAACAUACUCCUUGCUUCACUCCUCAAUCUGAACAGGCUCAAAACCCCUAUGAAUUGAAGACUUAACAGCAUUCAACACAAGUUGUGUUUUCCUACUAACAAUUGGCCACUUCUUCUCAGGUUUGGAGUUUCUAAAUUUAAUUUCGCCCACCAAACGAGCAAAUUCUGUAACCAAAAGAGCCUCCUGAGGAAGAUUAGUUUUAACAGUACACUUCACUGGCUGUUUAGACCAACAAGUAACAAGAUCAUCAAAGCUAGUUUCAGU
rnacentral:lncRNA from 1 species